CCACCACAUGCCUACAACACUGGCAAAUUCUGCUGCAGCAGAUGAUGUUGUCCUUCCCCCACAUUCCUCCUCCCUGAUGCCACUGAAGAAGACAACGGUUUUAUCCAUUUUAUUCUCUGAGGUAUGCUAGGUCAAGAGGUGGGCUAAAAUCAUUCCAUGCUGUUGGUGGAAAAUCAUAUAUUUGCGUUCUCCUAUGUGUAAUAUCUCUCUAGAAGAAGAAAUAAAAACUAGCAUAGAGUUGGGUUUCAUUGUAAGAUGAAAGUCCUGUUUUAAAUUGGUAUUUUCCACACAGUCUGGUACAUAGUCUAUCACUUCAUCCUGAGGCAUGUGUAGAGUAGAUCACAGGGACUGACCCAAGUCAUCCCAUGAAUUUCAUGGUUCAGUAGGGAUUUGGACCCAUAUUGCCAACAAAGGUCCGUAUAGUUAAAGCUAUGGUUUUCCCAGUAGUGAUGUAUGGAAGUGAAAGCUGGACCAUAAAGAAGGCUGAUCGCUGAAGAAUUGAUGCAUUUGAAUUAUGGUGCUGGAGGAGACUCUUGAGAGUCCCAUGGACUGCAAGAAGAUCAAACCUAUCCAUUUUGAAGGAAAUCAGCCCUGAGUGCUCACUGGAAGGACAGAUCCUGAAGCUGAGGCUCCAAUACUUUGGCCACCUCAUGAGAAGAGAAGACCCUGGAAAAGACCCUGAUGUUGGGAAAGAUGGAGGGCACAAGGAGAAGGGGACGACAGAGGAUGAGAUGGUUGGAUAGUGUUCUCGAAGCUACCAGCAUGAGUUUGACCAAACUGCAGGAGGCAGUGGAAGACAGAAGUGCCUGGCGUGCUCUGGUCCAUGGGGUCACGAAGAGUCAGACACAACUAAAUGACUAAACAACAACAACAACAUUGCAACAGUCCAAUAUCCCACUACUCCACACUGGCUCUAUAUGUGUAUAUGCUAUAUUCUGUUUUCUACCCCGUCCACAAACUCCUGUUUUAGAAUUAAAGGGAGAAAGAGGAUUUUCUGGGAGGGGGGGGGAUGUUUCAUAGGGUUGUUUUUUUAAUAUAAUCCCAGGUAAUUCUAAUCCGUCCUUCUGUUAAAUGGAUUUAUGCAAAUAACAUGCCAGCCGCUUCAAAUGAAUGAGCCUAAUGCUAGUUCCCUGCGUUAUCUCAAUCAACUGAUCCUCAGCACCAAAGUUUGAAAAUGAUCCCCAUUUAAAAGCCUACAACUAAAAUGGUAUUCCCACCCCCCACCCCUGCUAAUUUGUGGCAGUCUUUUUGAUGGUGGGGAAGGUUGACAGAGAAAUGUGUUCAAACAAAUAACAUAAUACCACAACUUGCCCUCCAAGCACGCUGCAGCUUUAAUCUCUGAUGGCGAGAGAAGAGUAAACAGCGCAGGCAGGGGGUUCUCCUUAACCCACACAUGGCUAAUAAGUUUAAGAUAGCAGGCCAGUGCAUUUAAAUAAAAACCCAGAGUCAGUUUAAUAGUAUUUGUUAUAAAGCUAUAUCUAAUUAUAUUAGUCAAUCUUUAUUAGAAGGCUCAUAAGUGCAGAGAACUCUAUUAUAAUCCGUCUUUCUAAUGAUCUCUUCACUAUCAUAGUCAUAAAAGUCUGGGAUAAAUUAAUCAUCUGUUUGCAAUCAUGAGUAAACAUCGAGUCAAUUAACAAUUGAUAAAUAAACAGCAGACUCCUGAGGCUACUGCUAUUAGAAAUGCAGGCACUGCUCAUCUCCCACACAGCAGCACAGUUCCGCCAUUUAAUUUCAGUGUGUGUUUCAGAGCUAGGCCAAAACUAUUUAUCUAACUCUUGGUCACAUGGACUGGGGGAGAGUUUAAACAGAGGGAUAGAUAUAGAUAGAUAGAUAUAGAUAUAGAUAUAGAUAUAGAUAUAGAUAUAGAUAUAGAUAUAGAUAUAGAUGAUAUAGAUACACACACACACACACACACACACACUGCUUGAGCUUUUGCUCACAUCCAAGCUACACAGUCAUACGUAACUUUCCCUUUUUAAUCAAACAAACAAAAAUCAGUUUUGGAAGGGCAGGAGAUGCUUAAACAAAACAACUAUCCUCUACUGGGUGAGCAUACAGGUCUGAUCUUUUCUCUUUGAAGGAGAAGAGCAGUUUAGGGGUGAUGGUUUUGAAAGGAAAAACCUUCCUGAGGAGAAAGGUUAAAGCACUACUUUUCUACCUGUUGAUCCAUCACCCUUUGUUGCAAAUUUCUAUGACUGUUUUUUGUUCUGUAAAUUCCCCCGGAAACUGCAUGGAAGAAAUAUUUUGGACCUUCCUUUGCCAUCAGGGACCUUCUCCAAGCUUGGAUAUUGCAAUAUACAGCCCCAGCACUUAUUUCAGCCAUACUUGGUACCCAGGGCUUGAACAAAACACACACAAAUACUUUCAAUAGUUAAUCAGUAUGUUUCAAUUGCCAUCUAAGUUCCACAAUCAUGCUGCCAAGGAAGAUUAUCUCUUACAGUAAAUUCAAAUUUUGAUAUUGAAAUGGGGGGUGGGGAGUGGGGAUAGGUAAGUUCAGCUCAACAAUCCUAAAGGAUGCUGUUAUUAUACCCAGGCAAUAGCUAACUGACAGCUCACUUUCACACAACGUUUUAUUUAUUUGUUUGUUUACAUUUGUUUACACUGGGCUGCCCUUGAAGCUGUCCCAGAAACUCCAGCGGGUGCAGAAUGCUGCAGCAAGGCUCCUCACAGGGUCUCUGCCUUGGGAGCAUAUUCACCCAGUGCUUUUCAAGCUGCACUGGCUCCCGGUGGAGUACAGGGUCAGAUUUAAGGUGCUGCUUUUGACCUUUAAAGCCCUUCGUGGCCUAGGACCCUCGUACCUACGGGACCGCCUCUCCCGGUAUGCCCCACGGAGGACCUUAAGAUCCAUAACUAGCAACACCCUAGUGGUCCCGGGCCCUAAGGAAGUUAGAUUAGCUUCAACCAGAGCCAGGGCCUUCUCAACACUGGCUCCGGCCUGGUGGAACGCUCUGUCUCAUGAGACCAGGGCCCUGCAGGAUCUGAUUUCUUUCCGCAGGGCCUGUAAGACAGAGUUGUUCCGCCUGGCCUUUGUCUUGGAGCCAAUUUGAUUCCCUCCCUCUCUUUUUUCUUUUCCUUCUCCUCCAGCGAGGAGGCUACAUUUUAAUACUUUAAUGUUUCAAUAUUUUAAUGUUGUAUUUUAAUUUUGUUUUUAAGUUGUAAUCAUUCAACUUGUUUUUAUUAUUGCUUGUAAGCCACUCGGAGCCCGGCCUUAGCUGGGGAGGGCGGGGUAUAAAUAAAAAUUAUUAUUAUUAUUAUUAUUAUUAUUUAUAUCCCAGCUUUUCUCCAAGAGUUCUAUGUGAGAUAUAUGGUUUCCACCCACUCCCAACCAUAUUACCAUCACAACAACCCUGUGGGGUAGGUUAAGUUGAGGGUUAGUGGCUUGCCCAAUAUCAGUGAGCUUCAUGGCCAAGUGGGGAUUUGAACCUUGGAUUCCUGGUGAAGCAACAGCUAUGAAUGUGAAUAUUUGUCAGCAGAGCUUCACUGGCAAGUUUAUUUUAUUAUCCAAAUCCCUUUUUCAGAAAGUCCAGCGUUUCCAGAAAACGCAAAGCAAUGCUAGAUGAAAGGGUGCAACCAAAAGAUGAGGGGGAUGCUCCUGAAAUAUUUGGUAGUAGAAAAGGAGGUGCGAAAAAUGCAAGGCUACAUAAAAAUCUUAUAAUCCAUGAGCAGCCUUGAUUGCAAUUUUUCCACCAAAAGCAAUUAAUUUAUAGCUUCAAACACAGGAGAUAAUCCUGUUAAUCAAGAAAAAGGGAGCCAUUUAUUGCAACUGUUCUUUUAGAGCAUUUAAUAACAUUGCAUCAGCUUGCACACAGCAAAAUAAAAAUUGAGGAUGGGAGGAGGAAGGUUAACAGGAGACAUGCCAGAAUUAGAAAAUGAGGUUCAAGGUAAUAUUUCAACUGUGAAUUUUUAAACUUUAAUGAAGUUGGCACACACUCCUGGUGUUAGAUAACAAAUCCUGGUGUCAGUACUAUAGAAAUAAUCCACUUGCAACCCUGAGCAAUUUUAUAUUUCUGACAUUCUAACACCUUAUAAACUGUAUUGAUAGCCCACAUAUACCAUAAUACUUAGGAGCUCACCCAUAGGAAAUAUUUUUAUAAGGCAGAACUGUGUAAAAGCACAUAAAAGCAACAUGAAUUCUGAAUAGUAACUCAAAACUCCAUAUUGAUCGAGGAUGCUUCCAUUGUUUAGCCAAAGGCUAAACCGACCCUAGCUGCAACCUAACAUGCUAAAUACCAGUUAACUAUUCCAUCAAAGUUCCUACAGGUUCCAGUUGUGAUCGCGUCGCUAUCCUGCAGACUUGGAAAUCAUGGCCAUGUUGAUACAUAAAGAUAAAGGGACCAUUAGGUCCAGUCGUGGCCGACUCUGGGGUUGCGGCGCUCAUUUCGCUUUAUUGGCCGAGGGAGCCUGCGUACAGCUUCCGGGUCAUGUGGCCAGCAUGACUAAGCCGCUUCUGGCGAACCAGAGCAGCGCACGGAAACGCCGUUUACCUUCGCGCCAGAGUGGUACCUAUUUAUCUACUUGCACUUUGACGUGCUUUCGAACUGCUAGGUUGGCAGGAGCAGGGACCGAGCAACGGGAGCUCACCCCGUUGGGGGGGAUUCGAACCACCAACCUUCUGAUCGGCAAGUCCUAGGCUCUGUGGUUUAACCCACAGCGCCACCCGUGUCCCAUGUUGAUACACAAUGGACAGCUUUUCUUGUCCACAUAGUCAAGGCCUGAAAGGUAGUUACUUCAGUGAUAGUGUCCCAAGGUGAUAACUUCUGCCCAAGCAAGGACUUCCAGGGUGCUUGUGCCAGUCACUUGUUGCCUGCUUUAGGCCAUUCAUACAUGACUGGGUUUCUGUUUGACAGUCUGGUACCAGAAGCAAUCAGGCCUCAAUUUCCGACACACUAGGUCCACCAGCAAAGCUGAUGAUAGAAGGGAAUGUAACAUUAGAGCAUCCUUAAUUAAUAUACACAGUAAAAAAUAAAAUAACUGCAUAACAAUUUAAUACUCUGCGAAAAAGGUGCCACCAGUGAAAAAGCCUGCCUCUGCAUUACCAUGCCACAUUUAUCCUCGUUUUGACUAUAAAAGAGCAUGCAAGAUAGCUAACAGCAUUCAAGAAUUACAAGCAAACUAUCAUAGUAAUCAAAAAUUAAAACAAUUCUGAAAUAACAAUAAGAGAUAACAUGGCAGGUUCAUCAAUCAAAGCCAUCAGAGUCAGCAUAAAAACUCAGGUUAAUAAUAAUAAUAAUAAUAAAGCCUGCCUUAAAGAAAAAGUAUUCAAUGAAAUAAUGGGAGGGAGUGAAAUAAGCCCAUGGGGGAGAAUUCCACUCCUGGGGUGCAGCCAUAGAUAAGGCCAACUUGUGUGACCUGAUCAACCUAGUAUCAGGCCAAUGGAAGGAACAAGAAGUACCAACGAAAGAAGAGUGGCAGAUGAAGGUGAUGGACUUUGCGGGACUGGUGAAGCUGACUGGGAAAAUCCGAAACCAGCAUGAUCAAGCAUUCCAAAAAGACUGGAGUAAAUCUAUACAAUAUUUGAAGGACCAUUGUAAGCAACUAACAACACAGGCAGGGUUUUAAGAAGACUUGCAACAUUAACUGUAUUUACCUUUUUUAUAUUUAUUUAAAAUUAAGACACUUCAGAUGAGUGAAUUGUAAAUUGGAAAAUGUAUAAGUGCUAUGAUAUAGAGGUUAACUUUGAAAAUCAAGAGGCGGGAGGGAGGGGAGUCAAUAUGCUCUUAAGAGCUAAAGAAGUAAAGUGAAUAAUGAUGAUGUGAUUAAAUAUUAUAAAAUGGAAAAUCAGUAAUAAUAAUAAUAAUAAUAAUAAUAAUAAUAAUAAACCUAGUAGUAUCAGGCCAUAGCAGAUCACAGAGAAGGGCUCACCUUAGAUAGGAUGUAUCACUGUGGAUAGGAUGGUAGCAAUUUCACUUAUCAUCUUCCUAUUUCCAUCAAGGAUGGAUCCAAAGUAGUUAGAUAAAAAUAAAAGCUCAACCUGUCAGCUCGGAUUAAACCCCAGCACCCAAGAAUCUAGAGGGGGAAAUCUUGCACCCAGGGAUCUGUUCUCCCACUAACCUGUAACAAUAUUUUCAGGGGCUACUUUCAGUUUCCAGGCCUCCAGCUGAUUACUCCAAAAUGUUUGGACAUUUCUUCUCUCUUUUAUUACUGGCAGAACUGUUCUUCUCGAGAAGAACAGAAAACCCCAAAGAACUCAGAAAACUUGCCCAAAACACAUUUCCCAAACUUGGAGUGAAUUAUCCAUCAGUUCAAUCAGUUUCUUUUCAGCAACCGUUAGACACAUUCCUGAGUAUGAACCACCUUCUCCUAUAUUGAGCUGUAACUUAUGACAGCAGCUUUAAUUAAGAUCUACUACAUAACAUGGAAGUAGAGCACAUGUAUUUGACCAUGCUAAGUGUAAUUGGUUGACUGCUUUCUUUGUCAUUUGAUUGAGGACCUUGAUCAUAUUCAUUUUAAUAAAAUUAGGACAAGUAUCAUUUCAGAAAGAGAAGUAAUUAUCUCUAAACUGUAAUCUGCCUUCCUUCGAAACGUAUGACAUGAAGAGUUCUCCUUAAUGGCAAACUUAUAGUCGAAAGACUUAAUUAAGCAUCUUUUCUAAUCAAAUUAACUUUCAUUUCCUAAGUAGAGGUUUCUAACCUCAAAGUGGCUUUAAACCAUUGUUUCUUUCAGCCAUUACCUUUGAAGAGAAAGAUAAUAUCCCCUUGAAGUGAUCCUCUUAGAAUGAGCUAUUAUGCACUGACUACAAAUACGGAUAUAAAGCUGAACUAACACACACAAACACAUACUGCUUCACCAGCUAUUUCAAGCUAAGUUUGAAAGCUUUGGAAUUAGCUCUGAUGCCAGCAGGAAGUCACAAACAAUAUGUUUUGUCCUUUUAAAAUUAAAAACAAGCUAUUAUGCAAAAGCAUUUCUACACCAGGAAUCUGCAAAUGAAAAGGUGUAAAAUGGCAGGUUAUCAUGCACCCUUCUGCUGUUUAUAACUGGCAGGGGCAGUUUAACGUUAAAGAACAAACUGCAACACUAAAAUUUAAAUACACAACAAAAGACUAGUAUUUCAAGCAUUUGCUUUGGUAUACACUUUGAAAGUUGAUGGGUAAAGGUAAAGGUAAAGGGAUCCCUGACCAUUAGGUCCAGUCGUGACUGACUCUGGGGUUGCAGCGCUCAUCUCGCUUUACUGGCCGAGGGAGCUGGCGUACAGCCUCUGGGUCAUGUGGCCAGCAUGACUAAGCCGCUUCUGGCGAACCAGAGCAGCGCACGGAAACCCCGUUUUACCUUCCCGCCAGAGAGUGGUACCUAUUUAUCUUCUUGCACUUUGAUGUGCUUUUGAACUGCUAGGUUGGCAGGAGCAGGGACCGAGCAACAGGAGCUCACCCCGUCGCGGGGAUUUGAACCGCCGACCUUCUGAUCGGCAAGUCCUAGGCUCUGCGGUUUAACCCACAGAGCCACCUGCGUCCCUCAUAUUUUACUAAAUCUGCCUACCUGACAAGUAGUUCAACCACAGGUUGCCUUGUUACUUCAUCAACUUAUCUGAAUGACUUUAUGGUUCAAAAACAAUGCAAAACCCAGGUCCCAGAACUCUGUACCCACUAUUUGUAGUUUCCAGAAACAAUAGGCUUUUGCAGUUUGCCUUGGAUUUUGUAUUAGUUUAAGAUUCAUCUUAAUGGGGUUUUUUGUGCUGCUUUAAAAGCUAUUUUUAGCUGUUUGCCUUGAUACACACAUGUAAAAGGUGAGUCAUUAAUUAAUUAAUUGUAAUUGUUUUUGAAUUGCAAUAAUAAUAGAUGGUUUUUAAAAAUGUGGUGCUGGUAUUCAUAUCUUGAGAUAAAGUGCUGUAGAUGCCAGUAAAAAAAACAAGUCAGUAAUCUGUUUCAAGGUGUACUAUCACAAAAAAGCAUUGAUAAUAACAACUGCUGCUCCUGCUAUUCAGGAAGCUGAAAUGAAAGGCACAACAAGCAGACUGAAAAUCAAGUUUGGGACUCAUUUUAUCCAAUAACUUAAGCAAAUGGGGUGGACUCAACUCAGCGUACUUGCUCCAAUACGCUGUUCACUCUUUCCAGAUCAGGUAUUCAGUGGUGUUUGCCCAGACAGGCCAACAGCCAAGGGAAGGAGAGGAGAAGCCAUGCAGUCAUAAGGAAUGAAGGUCUGUGACCCUGACUGUAGGGAGCCCCUUUGAGGUUUGGUUUUGUUUAGCAGAGACUACUCUGCAAGUCAUUUUGCCUAUAUAAGCACUUUCACGGGCUGAAAAUGAAGGUUCGGAGCUGGAUGAGUUUGGGAAGCCGAAUUCCAAGAUUGAUGGUAGUCAUCAUGCCAUGGAAUUCCAACCACAUUUGCAAAAUUUAUUAAAAGCCCCAUUCUGUUUAGAAUUUCUAGCCAUUUCUCCAGAAAACAUAUACACACGUAUAGCGUGUAUAUAAGUGCCUGUGUCUAUGCGUAUAAAGGCGACUCUCAACUUACAUUCUGGAAAUCUCACAUAAAGCCAAAAAAUUUCCCUGGACACCUGCCUCCCCCUUUUUUUGCCAAAUGGAUAAAGCUGAAUCCAUGCAGGUUAAAUGUGUACAAGUUACACUUUACAAGUGUGUGUGUGUGUGUGUGUGUAGCCAAAACAUUUCAAGAAUGUUCCAUCUUGAAUCCUACUAUGAGCAUGCCCCAGAAGCAAUUUGUCUUGUUGGUACCUUCAACAUGAAUAUUAUGUGCAUGUAAGCAAUAUGGCUACUCAAGUGCACAUAGGCCCAUUAAUGAAUGGAUGAGGUUUGAUUGGCUGGUUUACUGUGAUAAUAUAAAUCUACUUUUGCAAAAGCUUCUAUGGUAGAGCACAGUGGAUAAACUUAACAACAGCCUUUUGCUUAGACUGCAUCCAAAGUAUGCAAUAAUAGCCUAACUCAGUGGUAGAACACAUUCUAUGCAUGCAGAAGAGCCCAGACUCAACCCAGAGUAUUUCCAUUUAAAAGCCUAUUUGAUUUUUGAGAAGACAUCUGCCUAGGACCUUGGAGAGGCAGGGCCAAUCGGGCUAGGCCCAAUCCAAUGAUCCAACUCAAUAUGCUGGAUUGGUUGCAGCUUCCAUAACAUCCUGCCCCUCCCCAUGACCCCAUGGAGAUCCCUUAUGGGACCUCAGAGGGCACUUAUGCAUAGGCCAGCCCAUCUCAGAAGAAGUAGUUUAUAUAACUGGAUAUCCUAACCUGGCCUUUUUUUUACAGACUCCUCUCUGAGCAGACAGGCUGUGGGUUCCGCUGUAAGCAGAGAAGCUGUUUCCAGAUCAGGACACCAAGCUGUAAUUGUGGCCAUUUUAACUUAAUCCCUGCAGCAAUUUCACUCCUCUCUCUUUCUUCAUGCUGCGGGCACAGAACAGCAUCUUGUGUAAUGAUCAAAAUGCAUGCUACUGAAAAUGUGGCAGAGAAAUGUGUCACCACGUAAAUAUAUUAUUUAAUGCCCAAG